GACCAACUCCGAACAAGGCAGUCUCCCCAUCACAAAGGGUUCUGUUUUAGACAGAGAGACAAAUUGACAUGAUGGGUGAGGACCGCAGAGCCAAAGAAGAGUAUUUUUGUAUGUUUAUUGAAUAAAAUCUAAUAAAAUAUUAAAAACAAA